GACGGAGGAUGCAAGUGUUCUCCGGAAUCACUGGGCGUAAAGCGUCUGUAGGUGGUUUAAAAAGUCCACUGUUAAAGGUUGAAGCUUAACUUCAAAAAUGCUGUGGAAACUUUUAAACUAGAGUAUGGUAGGGGUAGAGGGAAUUUCCAGUGGAGCGGUGGAAUGCGUAGAUAUUGGAAAGACCACCAAUGGCGAAGGCACUCUACUGGGCCAUUACUGACACUGAGAGACGAAAGCUAGGGGAGCGAAUGGG
rnacentral:rRNA from 1 species